CCUCUGCCUCUCUUUUAAAAUCAAAAAAAUCAACCUGCCUCGCUUGCUUUUUUCCGAACUUCCUCAUUUUCAGUCCACUGCAUUAAAUGAAAUGAAUCCCCUCGCUGAUUCUUUGAAUGCUUCAUCAUAAUUCACGAGAACUCCAUUCAUUUCUCCAUUCCCACACUUUAACAAUCACAUCCAUUCUAAUGAUCUUAUCCUCCCAUUUUCUCGGAAUUCCAACUACCUCGUCGCCGGCAACCAGGUAACUCAUCUCUUUCAUCAUUCCUUAUUCGCUUCAUUCCAAAUUCAACCCCCUUUUCGUGAGGGUUCUUCAUUUCUUUUCUUAUCUUGUUGAAUUUCCAUGGAUGGCAUUAGAUUAGCGUUAAACACACACGAGGAUUUCUGCCCUGUCUCUUGGUUGAUAUUGUUGUUAACGAACAAUAAUAUACUAUUAAUCAAUAAUUUAUUCAUCUAUUUCAAAAAUUUGAAACGAUCUGUCUCAGAGCAUGGGUCUAAGUCAAGUUGUUUAUAUUAUUCUGCCUGCCUGCAUGAAAUGUGAUUUGUCGUGUUAUGUGAAUAGUAAAUAAAUUAGGGUGAGGAGGAGACGGCCAUCAAAAUGCCACAAGAAAGCUACAACAAUUCCAUAUUCAACUCCCCCAGUAAGAACUUGAGAGGACUAAAGGGAUUGAUCUACAACACCGCCAACGCCGAUGAAAUCAUCAGCGAUCGCGAAUUAGCCCAGAGAAAAGCCGAAGAAGCAGGUAUCUUAAUUUUCAUCAACCAACCUUAAUUACUGUCUCUCUAAACAACUCACUCAAACCCAAAAUUAAAUAAAAAGGGAACAAACAAUAUGAUGAGAAGUUCAUUUUUUGGAAGUCAAAAGUAGUAGUAGCAAUCAAUAUUCCCGAAUUCAAUUUCAAAAGUGAAAUAGUUAGUGCAAAAACAUCAAGAUCGCGCUGCGAGUGUGUUCAAAAGUUCAAAAAUAAAAACAACUACUGUAGUUUUGGGCCGGCUA
rnacentral:lncRNA from 1 species